rnacentral:tRNA from 1 species
GUCCCUUUCGUCUAGUGGUUAGUACAUCGUCUUUUCAUGUCGAAGACACGGGUUCGAUUCCCGUAGGGGAUA